GUGUCAGCAGCCGCGGUAAUACGUAGGAUGCGAGCGUUGUCCGGAUUUACUGGGCGUAAAGGGCGAGUAGGCGGCCCGCCAAGUCUCAUGUGAAAUCUCCCGGCUCAACUGGGAGGGGUCAUGGGAAACUGGCGAGCUUGAGGUCAGCAGAGGAAAGUGGAAUUCCCGGAGUAGCGGUGAUAUGCGUAGAUACCGGGGGGAACACCAGAGGCGAAGGCGACUUUCUGGGCUGCACCUGACGCUGAGGCGCGAAAGCAUGGGGAGCAGACCGGAUUAGAUACCCGGGUAGUCCAUGCCCUAAACGAUGGAUACUAGGCAUGGGGGGUAUCGACCCCCUCCGUGUCGAAGCUAACGCGAUAAGUAUCCCGCCUGGGGAGUACGGCCGCAAGGCUAAA
rnacentral:rRNA from 1 species